AUUAGUGCAGUGAUGAAGCAAUAUUGUGGACUAGAGUUUCUGAUAUUGGGCUCUUCUUCCCAUUUUAUUUUGACGACAAACCCUUGGCUGUCUGAGCACUAACGGUUAUCAAUCAUUUUUUUUUCUCCAAGUUUUCUUAAUUUACUAAAAUAUAUUCACUCAAAUUUUGAUUGUUUGUAAAUUAGGUUGAGGGCUAAUGAUGAGAAAUACAAUUAUCUUAGCGGAUUUCAGUGAGAUUACUUACUUGUAAUCAAUGAUCUGAUUGUUACACACAUUGAAGCUCUUAGUAAUUUUUUUUAAUAAAAUGGGAUGUAAAUAAUAAUAAUAAUAGCAGUGAUGAGGCAAAACACAUGAGGAUGUGUUUAGGGAAGUGGACAAUACAAUGGAAGUUGUGUUGCCGUGAUCCCCAAUUUAAACGACUUCUCCUUCCACUGAGCUUU
rnacentral:lncRNA from 1 species